rnacentral:tRNA from 1 species
GCCACUUUAGCUUAGUGAUUAGAGCAUUUGCCUAGUAAGCGAAAGGUCGAUGCUUUAAUCCUGCCAAGUUGCU